rnacentral:sRNA from 1 species
GUAAAAGCCAGCCUUUGCGGCUGGCUA